GUUGAAUAAUUAUUUAUAAAAUAUUCAUGGUUUUGAAAUGAAAUUCGUUUAAUCUGAUAUCUGGUUAAUUGAGAUAAAAUUUAAUUUUGGUUUCUGAUUUUUUUUGUUUUUGUUUUUUUAGUUACUUAUAUUAAGGGGGAUAAGCUCUUUAUUUAAAUAUAAUUUUUUUUUUCUUUUUUUUUGUAGGAUUAGAAUUUUUUUUCAUUUAAAUUUUGUUAAAAAUUGUAUUUUGUUUUUUUUUUUUUUAUUUUUUUAUCAAUUUUUUUUAUUUAAUUUUUUUUAUUUAAAUAAUGAUUGAAUUAGUAAAUUUAAAAUUUUUCUUUAUGAAUUCGGCAAAUUUUAUUUCCCGCCUGUUUAACAAAAACAUGUCUUUUAGGGUUUAUUUAAAGUCUAACCUGCUCAAUGAAAUUUAAAUAGCCGCAGUAUAUUGACUGUGCAAAGGUAGCAUAAUAAUUAGUCUUUUAAUUGAGGUCUGGUAUGAAUGGUUGGACGAGGAAAUUUCUUUAUUUGGGGAAAGUUAAUUUAAUUUAUGUUUUUGGUUAAAAUACCAGGAUUUUUAAAAGGGACGAUAAGACCCUAUAGAUCUUUAUAAUAUUUUAUUAUUUAAGUUUUUUGUUGUGUUUUUUUAUUUAAUACUUUUUUAUUUAGUUGGGGUGAUUAAUAAAAUUUUAAACUUUAUUUUUUUUUUACAAUUAUUUUUGGUUUUUUGAUCCUUAAAUUUAGAUUAUAAGAUUAAGAUA
rnacentral:rRNA from 1 species